rnacentral:rRNA from 1 species
UACGAGGGGUCCUAGCGUUGUUCGGAAUCAUUGGGCGUAAAGAGUAUGUAGGCGGCUAGAUAAGUCAGGUGUGAAAUCCCCGGGCUCAACCCGGGAAGUGCAUUUGAUACUGUCUAGCUUGAGUAUGGAAGAGGGUAGUGGAAUUCCUGGUGUAGUGGUGAAAUACGUAGAUAUCAGGAGGAACACCGGUGGCGAAGGCGGCUACCUGGUCCUAUACUGAUGCUGAGAUACGAAAGCGUGGGGAGCAAACAGG